rnacentral:rRNA from 1 species
UACGGAGGGGGCUAGCGUUGUUCGGAAUUACUGGGCGUAAAGCGCGCGUAGGCGGCUUUGUAAGUUAGAGGUGAAAGCCUGGAGCUCAACUCCAGAACUGCCUUUAAGACUGCAUCGCUUGAAUCCAGGAGAGGUGAGUGGAAUUCCGAGUGUAGAGGUGAAAUUCGUAGAUAUUCGGAAGAACACCAGUGGCGAAGGCGGCUCACUGGACUGGUAUUGACGCUGAGGAGCGAAAGCUAGGGGAGCAAACGGG